rnacentral:misc_RNA from 1 species
UGACAUAAGUGUCAAAAGUCAAAAAGCGUUCUUGCUUGCAAGAAAAGCUUGUUGACUUUUGACACUUAUGUCAUUAAAUAAAAAAAUGCACUAAAACUAGUGCAUCUUUUUUUAAUCAACACAAACAACCGUUUCUACAAAAAGCAACAUUUUGUUGCUUUA